AACCUGCACAAGGCCGUGGAGCUGAUGGAGAUUUAUGAAGGCUCAUGAAGGAACAGUUCCUGUGGACAACAAGAUAAAGAGCAUUUUUAGGCAGGGUGCCAAGGAUUUGGAGAGAUAUGGAGUUAGUGGAAGAAGAGAGGAGAAGCAAGGAUUUUGCCUGGAUGUCACACGGCCUGGAGGCCUCAAAAUGACAGGGAGCAGUUUGUCUGUCCUUGAGGAGCUGUCCCUGGAGGCAGGAGGGAGGACCACUGGUGACCUCUGUCCUUACAGGCAUAUUCUGCACUGUGAGCAUUGAACACCUCAUAGAUUAAAGCUCCUCACAAGGUCACAGCUUCCACCUGAAGGAAAUUUGGGAAAAUAGAAAAAGGGUAUCAUGAGGUAAUGGUUUCAAUUGCAGACUCAUAAAAUGGGAGAAGUGUUUGUGUGGCUGAUACCCUGCACUGGGCUUGCUGCACAAUGUCAGCCCUCUGCUCUGUGUCUGUCCUUUUGCAAAACAGGUUUCGUGCAGGGAAAGCUCUCAGCUCCAAGUGCUGGAGAAAUUUGUCUCCUGUAGUACAGCUGCUCUGGGAGAUUCCUCCUCCUCUUGUUUUCUCACCAGUCUCUCUCAGAUCUUGUUUUUAAUGAGGUUUCUUGCUCCAGAGAGUUACCACAGAAGGCCAUUGGUCUGAACCUCUUCACUCCAGAAGAAUACAUGAAUAAUUCAAGCCCAUUAGCAUUCAUCCACCUCCCACUGAGGCUGUUGCCCAAAUGAACUGACUCCUAUCCUUUUAACCACCUUCCUAACUACCUUUUUUCCCUUCUUCUUUUUCUCUUUUACACCCCACCUCCCCUUCUUGUUGUAAAACCACCCAUCCGUACCAGCUGCCUCUUCCAUGGGGUUCCACAGGGAAUGAUGGCAGCUGCAGUGGAGACCUUGACACAGAAAUAGAAAUAGGUCACUGCCCAACAGGCCAGCCUCAAAUCCUGCUCUGAGGAUUCAUCAAAAUCUCUCAGAAGAGAUUUUGGCCAGGGGGAUGUCCCAGCAGUGUUGUGCAUUCCUCUGGAUUGGAAACUUCCCAGCAACAGGACAGCAGGGAGCAACUCAGGGACCUUCCCCUCAGAAAGCACCGGCCUCUGUCCACUAAAACAAAUAUUUCUGGUCAAGGUCUCUGCCUGUGUUAGCUCCCCUCUGUUGUGGGACAAGAACACGCUGUCAUCUCGAGCAGGGGAGCUCUGAACUCAAGGGAUGCUGGUGAUGGGAGACACUUCUUUGUUUGUGGAAGUUUCUCAAGAGGUCACUGUCAAUUAUCGCUUUGCUGUGGCACCACUCAUUUCUUGGUAAGAAUAUGCUAAAGCCAUUCCUGAGUUCCUGGUGAGGAUGUUCCCAUUUCUGGCCUGGGACACCCCAGUGGAGAGACUUUGGCUCUGUUUCUUGUCUUCACCACCCCCUGUGCCACUCACUCCACAGCAAACCUGUGCAAAAUGCAAACACUUUUUUGCUUUUUCUCACUUUCACCUUUGGCACUUUGUUCCUUUGGAAUUUUCUUAGCUUUCUGAUUAUUCACUUUCUUGGAGUCAAGAUUGUCACACUUCUAACAGUCUCUUAAUGUAAAAAUAGCUCUGUUUACUGAACUGUAGUUUUUUGUUUACAUUUCUUUUUUGGAGGAGGAGAAGAACUAACUGACUGUCUGUUUGACCAGUGUGGUUGCAGGGGUCGUGAUCCCAUCCACCAAUCCACAACCGAUGCCAAAAAUGUAUAAAUAUGAAAGAAAGUAAAGUUCUGCCCGUUCUUUCCAUCUGGAACAUCUGUGAGUUGUGUGGUUCUUUCCUGUCCAGCUGCAUCACACCUUCCUGUCUCGGUGGUGUUCAUUUUCCUGAGUGACUUUAUCCUGCAGGGGCCCCAAUUAGCAAUGUUUUAAUCCAACAGAAUUAGCUCCAGGCUGCUGAAUUCCUGUCGUGUAUCCUCUGAAAGGCCAGCCCCAGGCUGUCCUUGCCGGAUCGGGUGUGAAUGGGCACAGAAAGGUGAACUAUUCUGUAUUCUAUCACUUAUCCCCUUGGGCAGGGCAGUCUUCCCCUGUAAAGCUGAACUUUAAAUAUGAUAGUUAUUAAGGCUUGCCCAGGCUUGAGAUUUAGCUCAUAUAAAUUCUGACAGGAACAAAUGACUCUAAAUUGUGACCAAAUCUUUCUUUCUCCCCAUUCCCUUGCCCUUCCAGGUCUGCUGCUCGAAGAGGAGACUGAAUCAGAACAGCUGGGGAAGAUAAACAGCUGCUUUAAAACAAAGUUACCCUGAUCUCUUCCUGAUGUAAAAAUUUACUGCAAUCUGCCAUGCUGCAGCUGAAAGCAAGAUGCUUGUGACAGAAACUUUUCUACUUUAAAUUGGCUUUUAAAGCAGGUAGCAAGUGGAGGGGAGUGGAGCAUGGCAAGCUGCACGCAGAGCUCAGGGGAGAGGGACACAUGGUGGAAUUCAGUUCCCUGGGUCAAAGCUCCAGCAGAUAACACAAGAAAGUGUUGAUGGAAAAGCAGGUGGACCAAGACAGAUCGGUGAAACGUGCUAGGAAGCAGCUGGAUCUGGGAAUUAAGGACAGCAGGCAGCAGGGACUCUGGGAAUUAUUUCUGAUUGUGCUAUUGAAUCAUUUCCCCACUUGGUCCCUGCUCUGCCCCACCUUUUUCUUUUUCCCAUUCAUGUGGUGAUCGCCAAAGAGCAGCAUCUGAUGCCUGCAGUUUUAGCUUUGAUGUAUUUCAGGUUCUGUGCUGCUUAGGUGUGGUUCUGAGCCUUGUAUUAAGUGUCACUCAGCUCUCUUCACAGGGUAGGUAGAAAAAACAAAUCCUUUCUUGCUGAGGACUAAGAACAACUUUCAGGCCCAAAAGAACAAACAAGGGAGGCUGGAGGGAGGAACAAGAAGGAUGGGACCUCACAGCCUAGAGCUGGAACUGGACAAUUAAACCCCAAUAUGCAAAUGGACCAAAACUUAUUAAAGUGUGAGAGCUCAUGACGAGUCAGUCAUUUUGUGACUAUUUUGGGUCCACCUUGGGUGUAGCCCUGGCCAGGCUCUUGUCCUGCCCAAGGUGUAUCC